GAGCGGAUGACGGGAGCUUGCUCCUUGAUUCAGCUGCGCGGACGGGUGAGUAAUGCCUAGGAAUCUGCCUGGUAGUGGGGGACAACGUUUCGAAAGGAACGCUAAUACCGCAUACGCCCUACGGGAGAAAGCAGGGGACCUUCGGGCCUUGCGCUAUCAGAUGAGCCUAGGUCGGAUUAGCUAGUUGGUGGGGUAAUGGCUCACCAAGGCGACGAUCCGUAACUGGUCUGAGAGGAUGAUCAGUCACACUGGAACUGAGACACGGUCCAGACUCCUACGGGAGGCAGCAGUGGGGAAUAUUGGACAAUGGGCGAAAGCCUGAUCCAGCCAUGCCGCGUGUGUGAAGAAGGUCUUCGGAUUGUAAAGCACUUUAACUUGGGAGGAAGGGCAGUAAGCUAAUACCUUGCUGUUUUGACGUUACCGACAGAAUAAGCACCGGCUAACUCUGUG
rnacentral:rRNA from 1 species